rnacentral:rRNA from 1 species
GACGAACGCUGGCGGCGUGCCUAAUACAUGCAAGUAGAACGCUGAAGGAGGAGCUUGCUUCUCUGGAUGAGUUGCGAACGGGUGAGUAACGCGUAGGUAACCUGCCUGGUAGCGGGGGAUAACUAUUGGAAACGAUAGCUAAUACCGCAUAAGAGUAGAUGUUGCAUGACAUUUGCUUAAAAGGUGCAAUUGCAUCACUACCAGAUGGACCUGCGUUGUAUUAGCUAGUUGGUGGGGUAACGGCUCACCAAGGCGACGAUACAUAGCCGACCUGAGAGGGUGAUCGGCCACACUGGGACUGAGACACGGCCCAGACUCCUACGGGAGGCAGCAGUAGGGAAUCUUCGGCAAUGGACGGAAGUCUGACCGAGCAACGCCGCGUGAGUGAAGAAGGUUUUCGGAUCGUAAAGCUCUGUUGUAAGAGAAGAACGAGUGUGGGAGUGGAAAGUUCACCCUGUGACGGUAUCUUACCAGAAAGGGACGGCUAACUACGUG